rnacentral:rRNA from 1 species
UACGUAGGGUGCGAGCGUUGUCCGGAAUUAUUGGGCGUAAAGAGCUCGUAGGCGGUCUGUCGCGUCGAUCGUGAAAACUUGGGGCUUAACCCUGAGCUUGCGGUCGAUACGGGCAUGACUGGAGUUCGGCAAGGGAGACUGGAAUUCCUGGUGUAGCGGUGAAAUGCGCAGAUAUCAGGAAGAACACCCGUGGCGAAGGCGGCUCUCUGGGACGGUACUGACGCUGAGACGCGAAAGCGUGGGGAGCGAACAGG